GAUCAUGGCUCAGGACGAACGCUGGCGGCGUACUUAACUCAUGCAAGUCGAACGGAGCACCCUUGAUUGAGGUUUCGGCCAAAUGAUAGGAAUGCUUAGUGGCGGACUGGUGAGUAACGCGUGAGGAACUUGCUUUUCAGAGGGGGACAACAGUUGGAAACGACUGCUAAUACCGCAUGACGCAUUUUGAUCGCAUGGUCGAAAUGCCAAAGAUUUAUCG
rnacentral:rRNA from 1 species